AACGAACGCUAGCGGUAUGCUUAACACAUGCAAGUCAAACGGACAGUAAUGUUAGUGGCAAACGGGUGAGUAACGCGUGGGAAUCUACCCAUCAGUACGGAAUAACAUUCGGAAACGAAUGAUAAUACCGUAUAUUCUCUACGGAGGAAAGAUUUAUCGCUGAUGGAUGAGCCCGCGUUGGAUUAGCUAGUUGGUAGGGUAAUGGCUUACCAAGGCGACGAUCCAUAGCUGGUCUGAGAGGAUGAUCAGCCACACUGGGACUGAGACACGGCCCAGACUCCUACGGGAGGCAGCAGUGGGGAAUAUUGGACAAUGGGCGAAAGCCUGAUCCAGCAAUACCGCGUGAGUGAUGAAGGUCUUAGGAUUGUAAAGCUCUUUUAAUAGGGAAGAUAAUGACGUUACCUAUAGAAAAAGCCCCGGCUAACUUCGUGCCAGCCGCCGCCGUAAAAC
rnacentral:rRNA from 1 species